rnacentral:misc_RNA from 1 species
AAAAGAAUCUACUGUGUGCAAUGCAUUUCUGGGAUGCCUUGAACUGAAUGUAACAAUCAAUUUCAUUAAACUUUGUUAUAUUCAUAUGCAAACCUAUGGGAUGUCAAUCAAUGCCUGUCACUUAAAUUUGGACCACGAAAUGGCUUUCAUUUAAGCAGGGUAUGUACGUGUGUUAACAUUACAAGCAGUUAUGUAACCUGCCAUGAGUAGAAGCUGGGGUGUCUGCACAUUUCUAUGCACGAUUCUUGUUAAGGAUUAUUUUUUGGCUCUAGAUUCUGCAGAUGAGUACAUACUUGUGCUUUGAUAUUAUAAUUGCACUAUGCCAAAAAUCAGAGUAGCUUAGGACAUCUCUGGCGGUGCCAAAAAUCAGAGUAGCUUAGGACAUCUCUGGCGGAUUAGAUUUAGUCUAGAAGUUAGUGGGCAUUGGCAUUGAAUCAUAAUUAAUAUCUUCAAUUCUACUCUGUUUUAUUACAAGUGUGUCUAUAUUAGGACAUUUUGCAAAUUAUGUAUGUGUUUGCCAUUGCUAAAUUAUUCAUCUGACACUGUAUAAAGCUUAAAUUUCAGUAAUGUUGAGG